rnacentral:tRNA from 1 species
AGUGUCAAGGGAUAGGAAUCGAACCCACGAGCUUCCGCUUACCGGGCAGAUGCCAUGACCACUAGGCCACAUGACC